rnacentral:rRNA from 1 species
GGGUCAGUAGGUUGGUCGUGCCACCGGUACGUACUGGUCUCACUGAUUCCUCCUUCCUGAAGAACCGUAAUGCCAUUAAUUGGGUGUUGCGGGGAAACAGGACUGUUACUUUGAAAAAAUUAGAGUGUUUAAAGCAAGCUAACGCUUGAAUACAUUAGCAUGGAAUAAUGAAAUAGGACGAUCGAUCCUAUUUUGUUGGUUUCUAGGAUUGACGUAAUGAUUAAUAGGAAGUUGGG